rnacentral:rRNA from 1 species
UACGGGGGGGGCAAGCGUUGUUCGGAAUUACUGGGCGUAAAGGGCUCGUAGGCGGCCAACUAAGUCGGACGUGAAAUCCCUCGGCUUAACCGGGGAACUGCGUCCGAUACUGGAUGGCUUGAGUUCGGGAGAGGGAUGCGGAAUUCCAGGUGUAGCGGUGAAAUGCGUAGAGAUCGGGAGGAACACCAGUGGCGAAGGCGGCUACCUGGACCAGCACUGACACUGAGGCACGAAAGCGUGGGGAGCAAACAGG